rnacentral:miRNA from 7 species
ACCCUCGAAUUCCCGGCCAAUGCACCAAAUGAAAGACCCUCGAGUUCCCGGCCAAUGCACCAAAUGAAAGACCCCCGAAGGGAGACCCUCCCUCAGACACUUAAGUCCCGGGACAGCCGCGUACCCAAGAAGACACUGAGACCA